rnacentral:rRNA from 1 species
GACGAACGCUGGCGGCGUGCUUAACACAUGCAAGUCGAACGGAAAGGCCCUGCUUUUGUGGGGUGCUCGAGUGGCGAACGGGUGAGUAACACGUGAGUAACCUGCCCUUGACUUUGGGAUAACUUCAGGAAACUGGGGCUAAUACCGGAUAGGAGCUCCUGCUGCAUGGUGGGGGUUGGAAAGUUUCGGCGGUUGGGGAUGGACUCGCGGCUUAUCAGCUUGUUGGUGGGGUAGUGGCUUACCAAGGCUUUGACGGGUAGCCGGCCUGAGAGGGUGACCGGCCACAUUGGGACUGGGAUACGGCCCAGACUCCUACGGGAGGAAGCAGUGGGGAAUAUUGCACAAUGGGCGGAAGCCUGAUGCAGCAACGCCGCGUGCGGGAUGACGGCCUUCGGGUUGUAAACCGCUUGCGCCUGUGACGAAGCGUGAGUGACGGUAAUGGGUAAAGAAGCACCGGCUAACUACGUG